rnacentral:lncRNA from 1 species
CUUGAUUAAGUCAUAUUGAUUAUUAAUAACAAAUUUGCAAAGCAAUGUGAUGGGUAAAUAUCAGUUAAAGUAAGUUGUACUUACAAACUUUAUUGUACUUUUACAGACAAUUCAUCAAUUAAACUUUGUGUCAAGUUUUCUUUUAAUUCAAUAAUAAUUAAGGAAUACACAAAUGUGACAAUUUUGACUGAAGUUUUCUAUUUGUAUCAUAAUAUGAAUACCAAUUACUUUUAAAUGCCAUUAAUGGUUUACAUAUUUUUUUCAGUACAUGCAUGAAGAUGACUUGGAGGCAAUGGUGUCAUACAUGUUAGUUUUAACUAUAAUAGCCUAACUGAAAUUUGAAAAAAGUUAUCAGAGGAAAAGAGUGACCACUUCUUUCUUAUGAAGAUCAACACACACAAGGAAAUUAUCAGACAAUUUGUAACCAGAUAUGGGGGCAGUUUUAGAUAUAUAUGCAUGAAAAGAAAGUGAAAUCAAUGUUUUUUUAGAUAAAAGCUUGAUGAUAUAACACAAAUAUAACAGUGCUGAAUAUGAAAACCCCAUGCCAUGUCACAUGUAACUUUUGGAAUGCAGAGAUUUUCAGUAUUACAAUAAAAGGAAGGAUUUCAUUACUGUUAAAACUGACUCUGGAACAUUCAAGACAAAGAAAUAAAGAAAUAAAAACAUAAGAGGAAAUGACUGUGCACUUCUUUUUUGAAGGAUCAACACACAAAAGGAAAUUUUCAUAUCAUUAUGCAUCAUGUGCAGUAGUUGAGAUAAUUUUGGAUAUAUACAUAAAACUGUGAACUAAGUGAUAAUUAUAAUUCAAACAUCAUAUGUGGUACCUGCAUGUACUUACUGGUAUAUAUAUUGUAAUUCACAACAUUUUA